GACGAACGCUGGCGGCGUGCUUAACACAUGCAAGUCGAACGGAAAGGCCCUGCUUUUGUGUGGUGCUCGAGUGGCGAACGGGUGAGUAACACGUGAGUAACCUGCCCUUUACUUUGGGAUAACUUCAGGAAACUGGUGCUAAUACCGGAUAGGAGCUCCUGCUGCAUGGUGGGGGUUGGAACGUUUCGGCGGUUGGGGAUGUACUCGCGGCUUAUCAGCUUGUUGGUGGGGUAGUGGCUUACCAAGUCUUUGGUGGGUAGCCGGCCUGAGAGGGUGAACGGCCACAUGGGGACUGAGAGACGGCCCAGACUCCUACGGGAGGCAGCAGGGGGGAAUAUGGCACAAUGGGCGGAAGCCUGAUGCAGAAACGCCGCGAGCGUGAUGACGGCCUUCGGGUGGUAAACCGCUGUCGCCUGUGACGAAGCGGGAGUGACGGUAAUGGGUAAAGAAGCACCGGCUAACUACGUG
rnacentral:rRNA from 1 species